rnacentral:lncRNA from 1 species
GAAUCACCACCACCAUCACCGCGACUAAUCCCCUUCCUUGGACUCUCCGAAUCAUCGACAUCCCUAAACCCCUCUCCCCCAUCAUCACUAAACUUAUCCAAUUCAUCACCUUCUCCACCAUCAUCACCCAUUUUCGACACCCAAUUAGACCUAAUUCUCUUAAUCCCCCCACCCGACCGCUUCUUCGACAUAAAGUCCCCGACUUUCCAGCUCCCAAUCGCAACCCCAUCCAAAUUUCCCUCUCUAUCAUCACCAUCUAGGGUUUCUUGGCCCUCAAAGCCGCUCAAAUUCAAUAAAGCUCGAGUCUUUGAGCCUUCAGUAGCUCUAUUAACUUGAUUUCUCCACUGAAACUUGCUGGAUCUUCGGAGAUUGAGGUGAGAAUCGAAGGACUGGUCGCCGCCAAUGUCGCCUAGUCGGACGCUGGGCCGGCGUUGGCGCUUGGCUCCGACGUUUUCGGCGGAAGUUACGGCCAGAGUUGCGGCGGCGGCGCCGUUGAGUUGGGGCUCCGGGAGCUGUAACUCGGUCAUUUCUGAGUUUACUGAGUUGAGGACGAGUUGAAACAGUUGUGUAAUAAUACUGAGUGAGUGUAUGUUUCUUUAUUUGGACAUGUGGAGUGAAGACUGAGACUUGAGAUAAGUGAAGCAUACGAGGGAAAUACAAUGCCUAGCUAUAAUCCACAAUUAUAAUUUAUAUUUUGAGUUCACAUUUGUACGAUAAAUUUAUAUUUGCUACCCAUCUCUUCAAUAAUGCAACCAGCACCCGGAUUUAAAAGCGAAGUUUCUGGCUUUGAAAGUCGAAACAGCUUAUUUUAUAAGUCAAUUCUCGAGACCGUUUGGGUAAAUUUAAAAUAAGUGUUUUUUGCUUAAAGUAUAGAAGUUGAAUAAAAAUUAGAAGUAAAUUAAGAUUUAUAAGUGAUUAUAGUGUUUGGGAAAGAAGUAAAAUCCUUAUACAGAUUCUCAACUUUUUAUAAGUAAUUCUGACUUUUUACACAAACGAAACGGAUAAGUGUUUCUAAUUUAUAAAUCCGGGACUGGGCUUAAAAGCCGGAGCCAAACACCACCUUCGAAAUAUAAAACUAAAAUUCGAGAAGUUGAAAGUUUUAUCUCUGUAAUGACUUUUUCUAUAUCGUAUUAUUAUUGUAUUAAUUAAUAACUUUUGUAUUUAUAAAUUAAGAAAUUUAAGAAAUUUAUAGAAACACAUAAAUUAAAAAUUAUUUUUCACUUAUAAAUAAUCUUUUAUUAAAAUAUUACUUUUAAUUAGGUUAAACGACCACACGUCCAGCAUGCAAGUAAUUUAAUUUUUACCACGGGCGUUAGUUCAAUAGUUAAAAUUUAACAUUCUUUAAUUUUUUUCUGAGAAAAAUUUAACAUGAACACUUCUAUUUAAAAUAACGCUGAACUACUCAGGUAAUGAGAUGUUGCUGCUGGUAGCCUGGUACCAUGACUUUGCAGUUCAAUUGAAACUGGUCCUUGGAUUUCAUCAAUAAAACAUGAUAAAUGAUUCUUAAUUACUAGGUGGCGAUGCUGUAGUGCUAUUGCCAGAGAUUUUGUUCGCUGGAGCCUGGAGGGCUAAGAAAGCAUGUGUUUUAUCAGCUGUUUUGUCUUUGGGACUUUGAGAGGCACGGACGGAUCCAAGAGAACUUGUAAGAAAUCUUUUAUGUAUUUCAAAAAAAUUCAUAUAUAAAUUAAAGAAAUUGACAAAACUUAAAUAUUAUUAGACUACUUUCUAAAAAAUCAUUAUUAUUAAAUUUGUGACAUUGAAUCUAUUAUACAAAAGAUUAUAUUAUAAUAAAGACGCAAAAAAAAUCUAUCAAAACUGUUUAAAAUGAGAAUAUUAAAUCUCUCCGUAUCAAUUCAGAUCAUGUUUUACAAAUCCGGUCACAUUUUCUUUUGCAUCUCUGCAUGAUCUCACAUGGUUACAAUUACAUGGAUUGUCAUGAUUCAUGAAUGUUAGUGAAUUUAAACUGUAUUUUAUCAUCAAAAUUUAAUAUUAUAAACUUUACUGCUCCCGAUUUCUUUUAUACAGAAAAUGGUUUGAUUUUUCAAAACACACUUUUAAGUAUCUUGACUAUCUAUGAUAAGUUAUUAUAUUUUAAUUAUUAUUUCUCUCCGUUCCUUCCAUUUCUUUAUACUUUCUUUUUUGGAAUGUCUCAUCUAAUUCUUUGCAUUUCAAAAUUUACCAAAUAUAGUUAAUAGGUCACGCCACUUCUCCACUUUUAUUUCUUUUUCACACUACUUUUACUCCACUAUCUUCUUUUUAUACCUUAAAAAUCAAUAGGUCCCACCACUUUACCCACUUUUCUUCCAUAUUUCUUAACCUCCGUGCCCAAUCCAUUCGAUAAGAAAUGAGAGAGACGGAGGGAGUAUAAUUCAUAAUAAUAUUAAAAAUAUUAUUUUUUCAGAUUAUAUAAUUCUUAUUCAUAAUCCAAUUUUAAUAUUUUUAUCUGUAAAUAAGCUUCAAUCUACCACGCUCAUAACUACACUGAAUCAGGUGCUACCAGAAAACAGGUGAUAACAGAAUUCCAAGAAAAGUAGAGUAAACCUCAUCAGAAGCAAUGGACGUGCUUAAUUUGCCUUCAAAAGAAAUAAAAAAUUCACUCUUGUACAUUAAACAUACUUAAGCAUUCAACCAUCUCAGCUGCCUAGCUAGAGAGGCUGGUUUACAUAUAUGCAUGAUUCAUCAUUGUGAUUCAACAACAUUAGUAUACAAAUUUGAUUAUUUGGAAGCUAGCUAGAUGGCUAGCUUUUAGAAUUUGCACUCCAUGCAAAUGAAUGACUAAAUGAGCCAUGAAAGCAUAAAAACAAGCUGACCAGACUGGGUGCAUGCCUGGGAUUCUUCACAAAUUUGGGGUUUAAUUUAUUCGGUUUCAAAUUGUAUUUUGUCUUCGAUCCUCGUACUCCUAAUUUGCAGUGGUUUUCUUCUGUUUCAUAUGAUGAAAGAACUCUUCGAUCUUCAGAGAUAUCAAACACUUGCUGUUGAGGCCAUAUAUAAGAAUUAGUAUAGGAAAAUUAAGGUGUUGCUGGCACUGUUUUCUGNUAAAUAGGCCCGAAUUAGAUAAAUCUCACUAGUUCAUCCAAACAUAAGCCAGAGCAACAUUUCACAAUAUCUAAAUCUCGAGCAUCAAUGUUGUGACAAUCAGACGAAUACAUUUGCCACAAGAAACAUCCGGAAAUGCUAAUUGUGGCAGAAUCUAAAUCCUGCUUCCUUUUACAAACGCACACAUAACUAAGCCCCUAACACUUUCAAUGGCCAACAUACAAGGAACAAAAUUCUUUAAGAUUAUGUUAGUAAAGUUAUAACUAUUUACCAAAAACAGCAUCAUUGACAAUGAGUAACAUUAGAUUUAUAAACUCCAAUAAAAAACAAAGACUACUAAUCUAAAAUAAAAUACACUAAAAAGUUCAAACCAGUUCCGACAAUCUGUCUUCCCUUCCCAUCCAGCUCACGAAAAAUUCUUCCCAAGCCUCUGAAUCGACGAAAACAUCUUCCGCCUCGACCCAACUGCAUUGAUCCCCAUAUCCUUCAAAUCCUCUAAUGUCAACAUUGGCAAAACCUCAUCAUCCACCUCAUGAAUUUCAAAAACCGGGGCGUACCGUCCUAGCCCUAACUCAUUCAACCAAACCCUAACCCCAUUCCUCUCCCCAUUACAAUUCCCCCAAUUCUCCUCCUCCUGUCUCCUAACCUCAUCCAUCGAAUCACCACCACCAUCACCGCGACUAAUCCCCUUCCUUGGACUCUCCGAAUCAUCGACAUCCCUAAACCCCUCUCCCCCAUCAUCACUAAACUUAUCCAAUUCAUCACCUUCUCCACCAUCAUCACCCAUUUUCGACACCCAAUUAGACCUAAUUCUCUUAAUCCCCCCACCCGACCGCUUCUUCGACAUAAAGUCCCCGACUUUCCAGCUCCCAAUCGCAACCCCAUCCAAAUUUCCCUCUCUAUCAUCACCAUCUAGGGUUUCUUGGCCCUCAAAGCCGCUCAAAUUCAAUAAAGCUCGAGUCUUUGAGCCUUCAGUAGCUCUAUUAACUUGAUUUCUCCACUGAAACUUGCUGGAUCUUCGGAGAUUGAGGUGAGAAUCGAAGGACUGGUCGCCGCCAAUGUCGCCUAGUCGGACGCUGGGCCGGCGUUGGCGCUUGGCUCCGACGUUUUCGGCGGAAGUUACGGCCAGAGUUGCGGCGGCGGCGCCGUUGAGUUGGGGCUCCGGGAGCUGUAACUCGG